AGGGAUCGAGACCCCCUCCAAACGGAUGAGCUCCCCCAACCCUUGGCGUGCGUGUCGUCCGACGCGAUGGACGGCGCCUCGCCAGGGGACUGCACGGGAUCCGCUCGUCUGCCGCGCUGUGCUAGGGUUUGAUCCACGCGAUGGCUCCAUGGCGACUGUGCUAGGGUUCUACUAACGCGACGGCCCCAUGGCGGCUAGGGUUCUACCGACUCGACGGUCGGAGCCUCACCGGGGGGACUGCACUGGAUCCGCUUGUCUGCCUCCGCCAGGUCUGUUGCACGCCCUAGGGUUGUGUUUAGAUUGCAGUGUGAGCGUACAAUGUGGAGGGGAUAGCAAAACAGGGAGGCCGGGCGAGUUCCUUUUUUCUGGGACUCUUUUGUAGAGACUCCAGGUGGAGAAUAGAAUGCAGUGCAUCCCCAUAUGUUUCAUUCAGCGGCAGCGGCGAGGAGCCCAUCGUUUCUGUUUCCACCUUACACUCGUGGACACCCAUGUCUUCUUUGCCUGCCAAAGGCUCCAAGCCCAGACCUAGGCGUGGUUGUACUGCUCGCGGAUCGAGAUAAAAGACUGGAAGAGAUUGAUUCAUUCAUUAAGAUCCAAAGACACCAAGGUUAGUUUC